rnacentral:hammerhead_ribozyme from 1 species
GCACUGCUGAGGAGUCCCAAAAUAGGACAAAAUGGCUGUCCAGUGC